rnacentral:misc_RNA from 1 species
CCGGUACAUAAAAAGUUAACGAUCCCAACAAUCCAAAGCUAACAAACACCAGAUUUCAGAUUUCAUCUUCACCGUCACUGUUCAACUUGGCGCUGCGGACCUAUAGGACAAGUUCCGCCUCUUCCCUUGGCUCGUCGCCGUUGAUCGGCUUAUUCUCAAAUCAGUCACUCAUCCAGAUUAUAAUGAUGUUCAUGACGAUUUUUUAAUCAGUUUUGAAGAGAAUGGUGCUGGUUUUAGCAAUAGGAGACCUUCACAUACCUCAC